rnacentral:rRNA from 1 species
CGAGGGGCAGCGCGAUGUAGCAAUACAUUGGCGGCGACCGGCGGAAGGGUGCGUAACGCGUGAGCAACAUGCCCGUCACAGGGGGAUAAUCCAUGGAAACGUGGUCUAAAACCGCAUAGAUUAUAGAGAAGACAUCUUUUUUAUAAGAAAUCAGCAAUGAGGUGACGGAUUGGCUCGCGUAACAUUAGCCAGUUGGUAGGGUAACGGCCUACCAAAGCGACGAUGUUUAGGGGUCCUGAGAGGGAGGUCCCCCACACUGGAACUGAGACACGGUCCAGACUCCUACGGGAGGCAGCAGUGAGGAAUAUUGGACAAUGGAUGGAAAUCUGAUCCAGCCAUGCCGCGUGCGGGAUGACGGCCCUAUGGGUUGUAAACCGCUUUUGUACGGGAGCAAUAAGGUGUACGUGUACACCGAUGAGAGUACUGUACGAAUAAGCAUCGGCUAACUCCGUGCCAGCAGCCGCGGUAAUACGGAGGAUGCAAGCGUUAUCCGGAUUUAUUGGGUUUAAAGGGUGCGUAGGCGGGAGAUCAAGUCUGUGGUGAAAAGUUCGGGCCUAACCCGGAUCGUGCCAUGGAAACUGGUUUUCUUGAAUAGUGGUGCCGUUGGCGGAAUGUGAAGUGUAGCGGUGAAAUGCUUAGAUAUUACACAGAACACCGAUUGCGAAAGCAGCUGACGAACCACCGAUUGACGCUGAUGCACGAAAG